rnacentral:rRNA from 1 species
GACGAACGCUGGCGGCGUGCCUAAUACAUGCAAGUUGAGCGCUGAAGGUUGGUACUUGUACCAACUGGAUGAGCAGCGAACGGGUGAGUAACGCGUGGGGAAUCUGCCUUUGAGCGGGGGACAACAUUUGGAAACGAAUGCUAAUACCGCGUAAAAACUUUAAACACAAGUUUUAAGUUUGAAAGAUGCAAUUGCAUCACUCAAAGAUGAUCCCGCGUUGUAUUAGCUAGUUGGUGAGGUAAAGGCUCACCAAGGCGAUGAUACAUAGCCGACCUGAGAGGGUGAUCGGCCACAUUGGGACUGAGACACGGCCCAAACUCCUACGGGAGGCAGCAGUAGGGAAUCUUCGGCAAUGGACGAAAGUCUGACCGAGCGACGCCGCGUGAGUGAAGAAGGUUUUCGGAUCGUAAAACUCUGUUGGUAGAGAAGAACGUUGGUGAGAGUGGAAAGCUCAUCAAGUGACGGUAACUACCCAGAAAGGGACGGCUAACUACGUG